rnacentral:tRNA from 1 species
GCGGGUGUGGUGAAAUUGGUAGACGCGCCGGACUCAAAAUCCGGUUCCGCAAGGAGUGUCGGUUCGAGCCCGACCACCCGCA